AGAUUGAACGCUGGCGGCAUGCUUUACACAUGCAAGUCGAACGGUAACAGGCCGCAAGGUGCUGACGAGUGGCGAACGGGUGAGUAAUGCAUCGGAACGUGCCCAGUCGUGGGGGAUAACGCAGCGAAAGCUGUGCUAAUACCGCAUACGAUCUAUGGAUGAAAGCGGGGGACCGAAAGGCCUCGCGCGAUUGGAGCGGCCGAUGUCAGAUUAGCUAGUUGUGGGUAAAGGCCACCAAGGCGACGAUCUGUAGCUGGUCUGAGAGGACGACCAGCCACACUGGAACUGAGACACGGUCCAGACUCCUACGGGAGGCAGCAGUGGGGAAUAUUGGACAAUGGGCGAAAGCCUGAUCCAGCCAUGCCGCGUGUGUUGAAGAAGGUCUUCGGAUUGUAAAGCUACUUUAAGUUGGGAGGAAGGUUUGUAACCUAAUACGUUAGCAACUUUUGACGUUACCGACAGAAUAAGCACCGGCUAACUUCGCGACCAGCAACGG
rnacentral:rRNA from 1 species